rnacentral:rRNA from 1 species
AUACGUAGGGUGCAAGCGUUAAUCGGAAUUACUGGGCGUAAAGCGUGCGCAGGCGGUUUUGUAAGACAGUGGUGAAAUCCCCGGGCUCAAACUGGGAACUGCCAUUGUGACUGCAAGGCUGGAGUGCGGCAGAGGGGGGUGGGAUUCCGCGUGUAGCAGUGAAAUGCGUAGAUAUGCGGAGGAACACCGAUGGCGAAGGCAAUCCCCUGGGCCUGCACUGACGCUCAUGCACGAAAGCGUGGGGAGCAAACAGGAUUAGAUACCCUGGUAGUCCACGCCCUAAACGAUGUCAACUGGUUGUUGGGGAUUUAUUUUCUCAGUAACGAAGCUAACGCGUGAAGUUGACCGCCUGGGGAGUACGGCCGCAAGGUUAAAACUCAAAUGAAUUGACGGGG